rnacentral:tRNA from 1 species
GCCUGGGUGGCUCAGUCAGUUGAGCAUCUGACUUCAGCUCAGGUCAUGAUCUCACAGUUUGGUUAGUGGGUUUGAGCCCCACGCCAGGCU